rnacentral:rRNA from 1 species
AGUGAACGCUGGCGGUAGGCCUAACACAUGCAAGUCGAACGGCAGCACAGUAAGAGCUUGCUCUUACGGGUGGCGAGUGGCGGACGGGUGAGGAAUACAUCGGAAUCUACUUUUUCGUGGGGGAUAACGUAGGGAAACUUACGCUAAUACCGCAUACGACCUACGGGUAAAAGCAGGGGAUCUUCGGACCUUGCGCGAUUGAAUGAGCCGAUGUCGGAUUAGCUAGUUGGCGGGGUAAAGGCCCACCAAGGCGACGAUCCGUAGCUGGUCUGAGAGGAUGAUCAGCCACACUGGAACUGAGACACGGUCCAGACUCCUACGGGAGGCAGCAGUGGGGAAUAUUGGACAAUGGGCGCAAGCCUGAUUCAGCCAUACCGCGUGGGUGAAGAAGGCCUUCGGGUUGUAAAGCCCUUUUGUUGGGAAAGAAAAGCAGCAGGUUAAUACCCCGCUGUUCUGACGGUACCCAAAGAAUAAGCACCGGCUAACUUCGUG